UAUAUAUAUAACUAGAGCGUACCUUGUUGUUCUUAGUCUCUUACAUUACUUGACUUUUUUUGUUCUCGCUCUUUCCACAGUUUGUCUGGAGGCAGCUUGCUGAUUUUUUCCAGUUGGUCAGUGUGGCUCACUGGGAGACUUGUGGACAUGCACUUACUUAAACAAAAUGCUGCUUUCAGCCACUUUUCUUAUGCAACACCCUGGUGAUUUAGAGUGCUUUUCAUAACGGCUUUAUCCAUUUUCACUUAUUUAUUUAUUGUAAUUUAAAUGUUAAUAGGCACACUUUGCUUUCUGGAUAGUCUGAUAGUUUGAUAGUCUGGGAAUACCAAAGUUACAACAUUGGUCUUCAAAAUGGUUGAAACUUUAAACUACUGAGUCCCCAUCCUAUUUAUUUAAUAUUUUCCACAUUAGACUUUGUUUGUUGUUGGACUUUCUCAGAUCGCUGUUUGCCAAAAUAAAUUUGUUUUAAAAACUUAUUCAUAACUCUAACAUAUUCCUAUCCAUGACCCUCAUAUUCCCACUGUUAAAAGGAUAAUUAAUUCUGACAAUAAUAGUAGUGUAAUCUUUAACCUUGGCAACAGAAACAGCAAGCAGAAUAAUGAGCUGUGAAAACAUUUAAGUAAAAGCUGAAGACUACCAUGUGUGACAUAAUGUGCAAUCCUUUUGCAACUCUGAAAUACUGGAAUGAUGAUUUGAGUAUAAUUCAAUUAACAGUCAAGCGACACUGUUGUUUCAAGAUAGAAAAACUUCAUUAUAUUAGUCAUAAAGUCAUUCUUGCAGUGCAAAACAGAGGGGCUGCAGAGUCGAGCUAUCAGCCACAACAACUGUCAGCCAGACUGCAAGUUUUACCAUGGUUUCUGAGAGCAAGAUACGCUUUCAUGUUCAGUUCUUGCCAAGUGCUUUAUCUGCAAGCUGGGUUGCGCCCACAGAGGCUAAAAAAAUAGAUGACUAUUCCCCGUGGUGGUCCAGCUAAGCGACUGUAGACAGGAUCAUAACCACAACCAUCAUUAUCAGUGGAAGGAAUGAGCCAAAAUCCGUGGUUACCAUUUCAAUGUAAUUGUUCCUUAUCACCACAGAAAAGAAGGGCAUUAUGUGUUUAAAGUCUUUCUUUCUGUGUUUUCUUCAUUCCUGCUCAGAUGAAACAAGCCAGCAUGAGAGAAAAGGCAAGGAAAGGAAAGUCUGAAAUGUUUUAUGUCAAAGCUGAAUCUGCCUGUAAGUCAACAAGAUAACAACUAAGGACUCUCUCAAAAAUCUACGUUUUUAUCUCUGAAGUGUUUGACCUUCUAUCUAAUAUCCAAGGGGAGCUCUAUCUUGUUGUCAACUGACCUUGAGUAAAGGAUGCUCUUUGUGAACAGGAUUACAUCAACAGUGAGCACAAAGCCUGAGCCGCACUCAAGUCAGCCUUCGUUAAAUGUGACGGGUAGCUAUUUCUGCAGAACUUCCAGAAAGGUGUUUUCUUCCUUCAUCAUGAAGUCAUUGAAUAGUUUCCAGCUUUGCUGAUUAAGUUCCACUUAAAAAAAAAAAAAAGAACAUGAGUGGACUCUCACCCCGUUGCGUAAGAAGCCACUAAUGCAACGACUGUACCACUGCAACUUGACAAGACUGUUACCGGGCCAGUAAUCCAAGGAAUUAUGUUUACACUGGGUGAUUAUGCAGGGCACUGUUUACAUCUACAUGCUCACAUUCAGUGACAGUGCAAGAAGUAGAGUACUCUUUAUGUAGUUUAAAACAAAAAGUCAGUAUGAGUCAGUGAAGAAAAACAAUCCCAGGCCAGGGGUAUGAAUAAGCAUAUCCACCGACACGUAAUUCCCACUCUGAUUAAACAGAACCAUUCCUUAUGUAAAAUAUAGUUUUGAAAUAGUGAAUAUAUCACUUAUUGUCCUGUUGGGGGCUUGCAAAGUUGUCCAUUCUUCUACUGUGUCUUGAUAGUAUGUUAGAUGCUCAGUGAGAUGGUAUGGAUCACCUGUCCUGUGCAAGAAACUACAGCAGAAUCUGUUUUUAAGUCUUCCCCGUGUUCUUGUGUUGUGAUUUGGAGUUCAGUUUCACAGAGGAAUACUUACUAUGAGCAAGUUAGAAAAAUUGCGAUCAAAUUGCAAAUAUGUUUCUCGCCAUAUUGGUUGGUGAAGAUUCAUAAGCUGUUCAGG
ensembl:lncRNA